rnacentral:misc_RNA from 1 species
CACAGAAAGUGAAGACGGCACAGAAAACUACUUUUCGUUCAAAGCGAGGAGUGAAUCUUCGAACGGCAUCAUGAAAGCAUCUAGGCGAGGCCUUGGUCCCCUGGUGGUGUUUGCGGUACUCGGACAACUGUUGGCGUUGAUACCCUGCGUCAACACUUCCGGAGUUGGUUAAGGAGAACGCAAUAUCGCGGAUGAAAAUGCGGCAGGAUAUGGAGGACUCCAUGCAGAGAAUCCGUGACGUGGGCCUAAGGGUGAAAAGUGGCAUCCCACAUGAUGUCCCAUGUUUCUUCGACCACGUCAAAAUCCAG